CUAUGAACUUACAGUCUGGCCAGUUGGAGUCUCUCGUGGGUGGGCAGACUCUCCACGGUCUGCAUCUCGGCGACCAGGAUGAUUGCAGUUGUCGUUGUAGCUGCAACGCUGCAGCCGAGGCAGCUCUCAUGGCAGCAGCGCGUCCACAACUGUUGGCACCUUACAAUUUCCCUUCUCAGCACCGCUGGGUUCAGCUCUCCAACUUUUACAGCUGCCUGCAAUAGAAAGAGAGAGAGAGAGAGAGGAGAGAAAACCAGGUUAAGCCACAAAUCAUAUAAACUUAUUUCCCAGUCGUGCACUGCCCAUAGGAAUAAUGUCAAUUGUUUAUUAGACUCGCAACCCAACAAAGGCGAGUGAACAGGAUUUAAGGCUAUAGCCAAUU